CACACCAAACACAACCACCAUCUUUUCAGCCUUUCCCCCCUAUAAAUACCUCCCCGCCCUCUCUACUCAUCAGGAGCUCUCUCUUUCAAUCAAUUGCCACACCAAACACAACCCCCGCUCUCUUUAGCCUUUCCCCCCUAUAAAUACCACCCCGCCCUCUCUCUAUUCAUCAGCAGCUCUCUCUUUCAAUCAAUUGCUUUACCUCAUAGAAGUAGAAGAAGUAGCCAUGGAGGCUUUGCAGUCAUGGGUUUCAGAGCACAAGCUCACCAGCAUUGGGACGGUCUGGGCAUCUGCAGUAGGCGCAUCCCUGGCGUAUAAUUCCAGGGCAAAAUCUCCUCUCAAGCCCAGCCUCAGACUUAUUCACGCCAGGAUGCAUGCACAGGCCCUGACACUGGCGGUGCUGUCAGGGGCGGCCGCGUACCAUUAUUAUGAGAAGAGGGUCGGCAAGAAGGGGGAGACUGCUUAGCUUCUUCUCCAAAUUAAUUUAUGAUGCCUAGCUACCUGCGCUCCAUGUUUGUUUUGAUUCAGUGUUUUAGUAAUGUAAAGAGAAAAUGAUAGAAUAAAUUUUAAUUAAUAUA